AUUGAACGCUGGCGGCAUGCUUUACACAUGCAAGUCGAACGGUAACAGGCCGCAAGGUGCUGACGAGUGGCGAACGGGUGAGUAAUGCAUCGGAACGUGCCCAGUCGUGGGGGAUAACUACUCGAAAGAGUAGCUAAUACCGCAUACGAUCUAUGGAUGAAAGCGGGGGACCGUAAGGCCUCGCGCGAUUGGAGCGGCCGAUGUCAGAUUAGGUAGUUGGUGGGGUAAAGGCUCCCCAAGCCAACGAUCUGUAGCUGGUCUGAGAGGACGACCAGCCACACUGGGACUGAGACACGGCCCAGACUCCUACGGGAGGCAGCAGUGGGGAAUUUUGGACAAUGGGCGCAAGCCUGAUCCAGCAAUGCCGCGUGCAGGAAGAAGGCCUUCGGGUUGUAAACUGCUUUUGUACGGAACGAAACGGCUCUGGUUAAUACCCGGGGCUAAUGACGGUACCGUAAGAAUAAGCACCGGCUAACUACGUG
rnacentral:rRNA from 1 species